GAUGAACGCUGGCGGCGUGCCUAACACAUGCAAGUCGAACGAAACUGAUUCCAUGAAACUUCGGUAGAUUGGAUGAAAGUUGAGUGGCGGACGGGUGAGUAACACGUGGGCAACCUGCCUCACAGAGGGGGAUAGCAGUUGGAAACGACUGAUAAUACCGCAUAAGCACACAGUACCGCAUGGUACAGGGUGAAAAGAUUUAUCACUGUGAGAUGGACCCGCGUCUGAUUAGCCAGUUGGCAGGGUAACGGCCUACCAAAGCGACGAUCAGUAGCCGACCUGAGAGGGUGACCGGCCACAUUGGGACUGAGACACGGGCCCAAACUCCUACGGGAGGCAGCAGUGGGGGAUAUUGCACAAUGGAGGAAACUCUGAUGCAGCGACGCCGCGUGAGUGAAGAAGUAUUCGGUAUGUAAAGCUCUAUCAGCAGGGAAGAUAA
rnacentral:rRNA from 1 species